rnacentral:rRNA from 1 species
GACGAACGCUGGCGGCGUGCUUAACACAUGCAAGUCGAACGGAAAGGCCCUGCUUUUGUGGGGUGCUCGAGUGGCGAACGGGUGAGUAACACGUGAGUAACCUGCCCUUGACUUUGGGAUAACUUCAGGAAACUGGUGCUAAUACCGGAUAGGAGCUCCUGCUGCAUGGUGGGGGUUGGAAAGUUUCGGCGGUUGGGGAUGGACUCGCGGCUUAUCAGCUUGUUGGUUGGGUAGUGGCUUACCAAGGCUUUGACGGGUAGCCGGCAUGAGAGGGUGACCGGCCACAUUGGGACUGAGAUACGGCCCAGACUCCUACGGGAGGCAGCAGUCGGGAAUAUUGCCCAAUGGGCCGAAGCCUGAUGCAGCAACGCCGCGUGCGGGAUGACGGCCUUCGGGUUGUAAACCGCUUUCGCCUGUGACGAAGCGUGAGUGACGGUAAUGGGUAAAGAAGCACCGGCUAACUACGUG